rnacentral:rRNA from 1 species
UGGGGAAUUUUGGACAAUGGGCGAAAGCCUGAUCCAGCAAUGCCGCGUGUGUGAAGAAGGCCUUCGGGUUGUAAAGCACUUUUGUCCGGAAAGAAAUCCUUGGCUCUAAUACAGUCGGGGGAUGACGGUACCGGAAGAAUAAGCACCGGCUAACUACGUGCCAGCAGCCGCGGUAAUACGUAGGGUGCAAGCGUUAAUCGGAAUUACUGGGCGUAAAGCGUGCGCAGGCGGUUUGCUAAGACCGAUGUGAAAUCCCCGGGCUCAACCUGGGAACUGCAUUGGUGACUGGCAGGCUAGAGUAUGGCAGAGGGGGGUAGAAUUCCACGUGUAGCAGUGAAAUGCGUAGAGAUGCGGAGGAAUACCGAUGGCGAAGGCAGCCCCCUGGGCCAAUACUGACGCUCAUGCACGAAAGCGUGGGGAGCAAAACAGGAUUAGAUACCCUGGUAGUCCACGCCCUAAAACGAUGUCAACUAGUUGUUGGGGAUUCAUUUCCUUAGUAACGUAGCUAACGCGUGAAGUUGACCGCCUGGGGAGUACGGUCGCAAGAUUAAAACUCAAAGGAAUUGACGGGGUCAUAGCUGUUUCCU